GCAAACAAACAUGGCCGCUAAUUAAAUUUCAAGAUUUUCGAGAUCUGUAAAAUUGAGGACGAUAUAUUUGUACCAAAGUAAACAUUUGUUAUUAAUUUUUCAGUCAACGAAAGAAAGCAGGAUGGUGAAUUAAAACUAUGGUAAAAGCCCCCAUUAAUGUAGCGUUUUGCUGAUUAUAUAUUCACGUUCAAAGGCCAAAGUCAUGAUUAUUAAUAUACUGCAAGGAGUUUAGGAGUGGAAGAAAAUGAGUAAUUUUUAUUAUAUCCUUUUUUUGUAUUAUAUCCACUAAAGAGUCAGACGAAAAGGGGUUUAUUGAAUUUAAAAGGAAAUUUUGAUUUCAGUGCAGAACUCGUUGUUGAACCUAG